UUUUUUUUUUUAAAGACCCGCGGCUGGUUAAUUGGCUGCACGCUAUUGAAAAAGGGGGCGCGUCCGAUUGAUUUGUGAACUCUUGGUGCGUCUCCUUUACAGGAGCGUCACAAUAGGCGGAGCUAAAAUCUCUAUUUGCGCUUUUUGGGAGCUGUAGUUUUGUAUUGUUCUUGAUUUACUGACCAUUCUGUUUAAAAACUACAUUGUCGUACUGUUCAAAACUUCCGUAAAUAUAACCAGCUCGUGAGUAACGUUAGCUAGCAAGCCAGAUACUUAGAAAACCUCGUGGAUAUCCUGUAUAAACAACGUUCCUGGACGACCUUCUCGGAUAGUCGCGCUGUCUUGUGGCCUCAUAUUACGCCCCAUCAGGGACUGACCAACUCUUCUCACUCAGCUGAGAGUUUUAAGAUGCAGGAUAAAGACAGAAGGUUGCUGGAUAUGAGGUACAAAAGAAUUCACCACCAAACAUCUGCAAGUCUUAUCCAAUGCUAGCUGUAGAAGUAAAAAACGCUAUAAUUGUGACUUACUUUUGUGUUUCGUUUGUCAGCACACGUUCCCUCAAUAGUGAUUCACCCCUGGUCAGCCCUGAGGGACUCGGCUGUUCUGACUUCUCCUCUUUGGAGAGCAUAGGUGAGCCAGUUGGACAGCCAUUGGAGAGGAGCCUACACCGCUCAGACCCUGCCAUUACAAACUUGGCCUUCUCAAAACAUCUGGCACCCACACAACCUUCAGUAGUGGGCUAUUCUGCUUCACGUGUGAAGCCAGAGGAUGAUAUUCUGUUCCAGUGGAGACUCAGGAGGAAGAUGGAGCAGUCAGGCCAUCAGCUUCAGUGUCUUCUCCAACGCUCCGUCCCUCACAGCUCUCUCGGCAGCCUUCCACAACAAAUGACUCAGAAUAACUGGCUUAUCAGGGACCUCUCAAGUACAGUGGAGGGCACUUUCACUCGUGCCCCACCAGAAACACGUGCUCAGGACCCCUCUCUUCCCUUUACCUUUCCACAGCCCAGUUUGUCAGCGUUCCAGCCUAAGCACCACAUCUCUCCACACACAUCCCCCUUCAACGGUGGCCCGCCAUGCCCUCUCCAAAGCUCUCCCAUAUUAUUGCCCAAUGAGAGUAGGCAGCCGCGGAAGAAGAGUUCCACUGAUCCUGACAUGUGCGCACAAUUAUCAUCAGACCAGCUCAGCUUCCAAAAUGCCUUGAGCAACCAGCGCAACAAACUCCAUUCAUCCCUUCAUCAGCACCUCCCUGAAAACAAAGAGGGACACCGCCGUCUUAUCUCCAGGACGAGUGGGAAAGGAGGGAAAAGUGCAAUGUCACAGGGGGAAGGAACAGAGGCUGAGACGGGAAAGAAAAGAAAUGGCACUUCCUCCAGUAAACAAAAGGGUUCGAGACAUGGAAGGCAUGUGGAUCAUGCAGCCAGGCCUCACCCUGCCAUGGGAGGAAGAGGAGGAGGAGGAGGAGGAGGAGGAGGAGGAGGAGGAGGCCCAGAUGGCAAGAGGCAUGGCAAGGAACGAAGACGGGAAGCUUUACCUUUCUCUCCCGUACACAGCACUCUUGGAAUGGUGGUCUCGGAAGUUCUUUUUCCUGAUUCGGGAUCCGCAGACACCUCCAGAAUGUCAAGCCUCACUGACUCUUGUGAAGAUACUCAACCAUUUCCACCACAGACCUGUACCAAUCCUCAUAGCCUGCAGAGCCCUUCAGAGAUCAUUACUAAGCUUCUCAAGGAGGCAGAGGAUUCAGAUGAGCUGGAGUUUGAGGACGACCCCUUACUGCUGGUACUGAGAGAGCAGAGAGGCUGUGUGAAGCAACGCAUAUGCGAGAUGGAUAUGUUGCUUGAAGCAUGGCAUGAAAAACAACCCCUCUGACAUUUCAGAAUCUCUCCAAAUACACUCAAUCCUGUAUAAUUUUAACUUAUUGUAAAUAAAUUAUGAAUGUUGAAAAUGUUAACA
rnacentral:lncRNA from 1 species